rnacentral:tRNA from 1 species
GAGAUCAUAGUUUAAUCGGAAAAAUUUAUUCCUGCUAAGAAUGGAUGCGGGUUCGAAUCCUGCUGAUCUCCCCA